CAACCUACAAAAUCAUUUUUGUGAAUCAACAUUUCUAAUAUUUCCACAAAUGAAAAAGAAACAUCGAAUCAGAGGAAUUAACGUUCUCGGUAUGAUCGGGAUCAAUUUAAAUGAUCGAUCGUGAACAGUGACGGUGAUAAAAAGCGACCUAAGGGGGUAGAAAAAGAGCGUGUCGCGUCGACUUCCGUGGCACGUACCGGCUACGUUCCAUUUACGUAAAAACAGCAACGUUGUUGCUGGAAAGCUUGAAGGAAGAAAAAGAA